AGAGUUUGAUCCUGGCUCAGGAUGAACGCUAGCGACAGGCUUAACACAUGCAAGUCGAGGGGCAGCGAUAGGUGGCAACACCGAGUCGGCGACCGGCGCACGGGUGAGUAACGCGUAUGCAACUUGCCUAUCAGAGGGGGAUAACCCGUCGAAAGACGGACUAAUACCGCAUAAAACAGGGGCCCCGCAUGGGGAUAUUUGUUAAAGAUUCAUCGCUGAUAGAUAGGCAUGCGUUCCAUUAGGUAGUAGGCGGGGUAACGGCCCACCUAGCCGACGAUGGAUAGGGGUUCUGAGAGGAAGGUCCCCCACAUUGGUACUGAGACACGGACCAAACUCCUACGGGAGGCAGCAGUGAGGAAUAUUGGUCAAUGGGCGAUAGCCUGAACCAGCCAAGUCGCGUGAGGGAGGAAGGCUCUAUGGGUCGUAAACCUCUUUUAUAAGGGAUUAAAGUCGGGGUCGUGACCCCGUUGGAAGGUACCUUAUGAAUAAGCAUCGGCUAACUCCGUGCCAGCAGCCGCGGUAAUACGGAGGAUGCGAGCGUUAUCCGGAUUCAUUGGGUUUAAAGGGUGCGUAGGCUGUGCGUCAAGUCAGGGGUGAAAUUCCGGGGCUCAACUCCGGGGCUGCCCUUGAUACUGUCGCGCUGGAGUGCGGAUGCCGCCGGAGGAAUGAGUGGUGUAGCGGUGAAAUGCUUAGAUAUCACUCAGAACACCGAUUGCGAAGGCAUCUGGCGAAUCCGUAACUGACGCUGAGGCACGAAAGCGUGGGGAUAGAACAGGAUUAGAUACCCUGGUAUUCCACGCCGUAAACGAUGAUGGCUAACCGCCGGCGACAUACUGUCGGUGGCCAAGCGAAAGCGAUAAGCCAU
rnacentral:rRNA from 1 species